rnacentral:rRNA from 1 species
UGGGGAAUUUUGGACAAUGGGCGAAAGCCUGAUCCAGCAAUGCCGCGUGUGUGAAGAAGGCCUUCGGGUUGUAAAGCACUUUUGUCCGGAAAGAAAUCCUUGGCUCUAAUACAGUCGGGGGAUGACGGUACCGGAAGAAUAAGCACCGGCUAACUACGUGCCAGCAGCCGCGGUAAUACGUAGGGUGCAAGCGUUAAUCGGAAUUACUGGGCGUAAAGCGUGCGCAGGCGGUUUGCUAAGACCGAUGUGAAAUCCCCGGGCUCAACCUGGGAACUGCAUUGGUGACUGGCAGGCUAGAGUAUGGCAGAGGGGGGUAGAAUUCCACGUGUAGCAGUGAAAUGCGUAGAGAUGUGGAGGAAUACCGAUGGCGAAGGCAGCCCCCUGGGCCAAAUACUGACGCUCAUGCACGAAAGCGUGGGGAGCAAACAGGAUUAGAUACCCUGGUAGUCCACGCCCUAAAACGAUGUCAACUAGUUGUUGGGGAUUCAUUUCCUUAGUAACGUAGCUAACGCGUGAAGUUGACCGCCUGGGGAGUACGGUCGCAAAGAUUAAAACUUAAAGGAAUUGACGGGGUCAUAGCUGUUUCCU